GCCCAGCUGCCCCCUGCCCUCCCAGAAGUAAGCGCCCACAGCUGCACCCUGGGGUGCUCUGGCCACCAGCCUUCAGUGUCCCUUUUUGCCAGCGAGGGCAGACACACCAUGGCACGGUUGCCGGGGAUGCCCAGACCAGAGCUGAGGCAAAUGGGACUUCAAAGGAGCCCAGAGAAGCGAGUCAUGAAUCAUCUGCUGCUGUGACCGGCCAGCAGGGGGCCAGGGUCUAGCACAGUGCCCGGCACAUAGUGGAUAUUCCACAGAUGUUUGCUGAAGGAAUGAUUCAAUGGGAGAAAGCAAGCAAGCAAGAACCAAAGACUGGCUGAGAAGGGAUGGAAAUCUGGGGAUUCCCUGGCUAUGAGUUGUAGAAACAGGUUCAGUGUAAGAAACACAAACCACA